rfam:Hordeum vulgare subsp. vulgare, WGS project CAJW01000000 data, contig: morex_contig_1579194
AAGAUACUCCCUUCGUCCCAAAGUUUUGUCUUAGAUUUGUGUAGAUAUGAAUAUAUCUAGUCACAUUUUAGUANUUAGAUACAUUCAUUUUUAGACAAAACUAAGACAAGAAUUUUGGGACGGAGAAAGUAUGAU